AUCCUGUGGUCUCUUUUACAUGGAUAACCAUGGUAAUUCUAUGGCUAAUACAUGCGCACAGGCCUCCUUCUUUGGAGGGGCCGUGUUUAUUAGAUACAAAACCAACCCACUUUGUGGAGCCUUGGUGAUUCAUAGUAACCGAACGGAUUGCAUUUGGCUUUAGCCGGCGAUAGAUCAUUCAAGUUUCUGACCUAUCAGCUUUCGACGGUAGGGUAUUGGCCUACCGUGGCAUUGACGGGUAACGGGGAAUUAGGGUUCGAUUCCGGAGAGGGAGCCUGAGAAACGCCAACCACA
rnacentral:rRNA from 1 species